CGCGUAGGCGGUCUUGUCGGUCAGAUGUGAAAGCCCAGGGCUCAACCCUGGACGUGCAUUUGAAACAGCAAGACUUGAGUACGGGAGAGGAAAGCGGAAUUCCUGGUGUAGAGGUGAAAUUCGUAGAUAUCAGGAGGAACACCGAUGGCGAAGGCAGCUUUCUGGACCGAUACUGACGCUGAGGCGCGAAGGUGUGGGUAGCGAACAGGAUUAGAUACCCUGGUAGUCC
rnacentral:rRNA from 1 species